ensembl:snRNA U6 U6 spliceosomal RNA
GUGCUCACUACAGCAGCACAUAUACUAAAAUUGGAACUAUACAGAGAAGGUUAGCAUGGCCCCUGAACAAGGAUGACAUGCAAAUUCAUGAAAUGUUCCAUAUUUUU